rnacentral:lncRNA from 1 species
AUGUUUUUAUCCUUUUCUUCUCAUUUGUGGGUGUUGUUAACAGAUGAAUCUUUCGGCUGGCAUUGUAGAUUAUUGUCACAUUUGUCAUCAUCUUAAGCAGAGAAGGGAGAGGAUUUGAACCGAUAGCUUAGUUUAAUCUCACCUUGCAAUCUGCUAUGUAAGAGAAUACCGAUACCGUUUAUAUAAAUUCUUAUAAGCAACAUUUCCCUUUGUUUAGCAAGCCUACGAGUUUUGGUCCCUUUUCAAAUCAAUUUUGUAUCAAUAACGUUGAUGCUUAGCUGAAAUAGAGUGACUAGCAUCUCAGUUUUUACCUUUUCAGUACUUUAUUGCCUCCAACAUCUUCAGUUCAAUGGAGACCAAUUUUCUUCAAUAAUAAAACCAUUUAAGAAUACCUAUCAAUACAUAUCAAAAGCACGUCAUUACAUAAAUCAAACAAAGUUAAAUAACUAAAGCAGGGGCUCAAAUGCAGGGGUCUCAAAUCACUGGUAAUACAUGAGAUGCUGGGCGGCAGCUACAUUCUGGAAACCACCAUCAUAAAUAGCCUGGCUUAUGGUAUUGGUGGUUGCAACGGUGACGGGGUGAGGGCAGUGGUGACAGUGGAGGUGGUGGUGGUAUAGUGGUGGGUGUUUGGUAUCUGUGACCAACUAUUUGGUUGUCGUAUAACUAAGUAACUAACUAUUAAUCGGUGAUUUUAAAAUUCGAUCAUUUUGCGACUAAAAAUGGAAUCCGUGAC